rnacentral:lncRNA from 1 species
GUGUAACAACUUUGCAGACGAGUUUUAUCUGGGCGAGGACUGUAGUCAGAAAUGGACCACACUGACCUUUGCCCUCGUGGCCUCUCUUCCUGGAAUCACACUAGCUUUCGUGGUGGGACUUAUCGUCCACAUCAUACACACCUGUUCAGGAUCUGGCAAGAGUGACGGACAUGUGAGUAAACAGCAGUCCAGCCCUCCUGCAGAAGAGAAUUUGUUCCCAGGAAUGGUUUUUGCAUCUGACGUGGCUGCUCGUCCUAAUGGUUCCACUGGUCCAAGGCCACCACAAGUUGGGAUUCCAAUGCAAAACACACGCCCAUACAGUAUUCCAGAAAGUCCACGUCCUUCAACAAACAGACCACCUAUGGGAGACCCUCGGCAACCCUACAACCCAUCUGCUAGCAAUCGUCUAUCAACUGACAGACCACCAAUGGGAGGCCCUCGUCCAUCACCUGACAGACCACCAAUGGGAGGCCCUCGCCCAACCAACAGUGAGUUUGAUAGGCCGGCUCUAGGAGGACCCCCGCAGCCCUACAGCUACACUGCACGCCCUGGUCAGGUACUCAGUAACCCGUAUGCUAAAAGCAGGAAUCCCUAUGAAGAGGACAGUCCGUCUCCGGAUUCGUACAGGAAAUAUAAUCCGCCCGCCUCCCCGCAGGGUUUUGAUGACAGGAGAAUGGGUCAUUCUUCAGCACCCUCUUACUCAGACUCAGACUAUGGCAACCGCGGUGCCUUCCCUCGAGUGCAGGUCAAUCGCAUGUACUGAAGAGGCAGAAGGCAGAGGGAUUCUGAGACAUUUUAAUACAAAUUUAAAACAAAUUUUAUUGAAUAUGUAUAAUAAUCUCAUAAUGUUCUUACAAAACUCAUGUCUAGAUUUAAAAUAUGAUGUUCACUUUCUUUUUAAUGCUUUUUAAUGCUUACACUCAUCAGAACAUGCACCAGAAAUGGAGAUUUUCAUUCUUCUGUAUUUUCAUGCCAUUGAUGUUCAUUAACAUAUACAUGUGCUACAAGUGUUUACAGAGUGUUUAUUAAUCUGGUGUUAAAUAUUAUUUUAUUUUAUUCAUACUUUACUUAUGAAUUCACAUAUGUUUCAUGAGUGAGGCCGAUAGUAUUCAUAACACAUUUUUCUUCCUCAGUUCACACAAUUACAUAAUUACUAUUCACCGGUAACCACUAUUACUGCUGCUCUUCCAAUGAUCAUAUUUCCACUACUAUUUAUUUUGUUUAAAGGCUGAUUUGAAAGAUAAUAAAUCAUGAUUAGGAAAACCUACA